rnacentral:rRNA from 1 species
CCUACGGGAGGCAGCAGUAAGGAAUAUUGGUCAAUGGAGGAACUCUGAACCAGCCAUCCCGCGUGAAGGAUGAAGGGGCUCUGCCUUGUAAACUUCUUUUGCAUGGGACGAAAAAACUUAAUUUAUUAAGGACUGACGGUACCAUGAGAAUAAGCACCGGCUAACUCCGUGCCAGCAGCCGCGGUAAUACGGAGGGUGCGAGCGUUAUCCGGAAUCACUGGGUUUAAAGGGUGCGUAGGCGGUUUGAUAAGUCAGUGGUGAAAGGCCGUCGCUUAACGAUGGGACUGCCAUUGAUACUGUUAGACUUGAAUCAGGAUGAGGUUGGCGGAAUGUGGCAUGUAGCGGUGAAAUGCUUAGAUAUGCCAUGGAAUACCGAUUGCGAAGGCAGCUGACUGGACCUGAAUUGACGCUGAGGCACGAAAGCGUGGGGAGCGAACAGGAUUAGAUACCCUGGUAGUCCACGCCCUAAACGAUGCUUACUCGUUGUUUGAUCUAAGGAUUGAGUGACUAAGCGAAAGCGAUAAGUAAGCCACCUGGGGAGUACGACCGCAAGGUUUGAAACUCAAAGGAAUUGACGG